AGAACGAACGCUGGCGGCAUGCCUAAUACAUGCAAGUCGAACGAACACUUCGGUGUUAGUGGCGCACGGGUGCGUAACGCGUGGGAAUCUGCCCUUGGGUUCGGAAUAACAGUUGGAAACGACUGCUAAUACCGGAUGAUGACGAAAGUCCAAAGAUUUAUCGCCCAGGGAUGAGCCCGCGUAGGAUUAGCUAGUUGGUGAGGUAAUGGCUCACCAAGGCGACGAUCCGUAACUGGUCUGAGAGGAUGAUCAGUCACACUGGAACUGAGACACGGUCCAGACUCCUACGGGAGGCAGCAGUGGGGAAUAUUGGACAAUGGGCGAAAGCCUGAUCCAGCCAUGCCGCGUGUGUGAAGAAGGUCUUCGGAUUGUAAAGCAACUUUAAGUUGGGAGGAAGGCAGUUACCUAAUACGUAUCUUGUUUGACGUUACGACAGAAUAAGCACCGGCUAACUCUGUGCCAGCAGCCGACGGU
rnacentral:rRNA from 1 species